UCGGGAAUAUUGGACAAUGGGGGAAACCCUGAUCCAGCCAUGCCGCGUGAGUGAUGAAGGCCUUCGGGUUGUAAAGCUCUUUUAGGUGGGACGAUGAUGACGGUACCACCAGAAUAAGCUCCGGCUAACUUCGUGCCAGCAGCCGCGGUAAUACGAAGGGAGCUAGCGUUGUUCGGAUUUACUGGGCGUAAAGGGCGCGUAGGCGGUCUUGUAAGUUGGGUGUGAAAGCCCCGAGCUCAACUCGGGAACUGCACUCAAAACUACAAGUCUAGAGUAUGGGAGAGGUUGGUGGAAUUCCCAGUGUAGAGGUAAAAUUCGUAGAUAUUGGGAAGAAUAUCAGUGGCGAAGGCGGCCAACUGGACCAUAACUGACGCUGAGGCGCGAAAGCGUGGGGAGCAAA
rnacentral:rRNA from 1 species